rnacentral:ncRNA from 14 species
AUUAGCUCAGGUGGUUAGAGCGCACCCCUGAUAAGGGUGAGGUCGCUGGUUCAAGUCCAGCAUAG